CCAAUAUCAGUAAUGGACACGGAAGGGAAUAGGGGUGUAAUACGAUUACACCCGACCAAACAAGCUCUAAAGGAAUGGCGAGAUGAAUGUGGAUGCAUAAAUUCUGUCGGAGGCAAAUGACUUGCGGAAAUUUAUAGUUACAUGACUCAGGUGUCAAUAAGGGAGGAAACAUGAAGGAGGGUACGUUGGCGCUGAUGAAGGCUAGUUCACCCAGAUAGGACGGAGAGCUGGAGAACGUAUGUGAGUGAGGAUCUUGAGGACACAAAUAUGGAUGCUGAGGGCAAUAAGGUGGCUAUGUGUACUUAAGGGUCAAUCCAUUCUUCAUCUCAUGUGCGUGCUAAAUGAAGUAUAUAAAGGAGGUUUUGUGUUUGGUGAUGCUGAUUCGGUGAACUUGCUAUCACGCCAUCAUUGUGGGAUGGAUGGGAAAGAUGUUUGUAAUGAGACGCAUUUUGUCAUUCCUUUUGAACUGUGGUAGUUAGAUUCACGUGGAGUUUGUAAACCUAAAAGUCACAUUCUGAACAGAAGAGCAGGUGUUCCUUAAGAAGGGGCAGGCGAAAACCUUCUGUAGAAAGCAGGUAGUAACCUUACAGGGAUGGUUGACAAGAAUCCUUCUGAGGAAGACGAAAGGUUGGUUGGAAUCUGGCCUUCCGAACCAUCAAUCUUCUGGUAAUUGGCCGGUUGGUAGUGAGCGGAGGGAUAUCUCUUGGGUGGCUUGAUGUGCUAACCAAGACCAUUAGCAAGUGAACAUGUUUUGGCUUUAUGUUGUGAACAUGGGAAUGGGAAGUUUGGAAAAUGAUUAUUUCAGACAUUAUUGCAUUUUUUAGCUUUUAAGACUUUUCAAUUUUUCUGAACUUUAUUAGUUUAAUAUAUUUUUUUAUGUAGAGAAGGGAUUGUAAGAAGCUAUAAUUCCACAUCAUCCUUAUCACUUUCUAAUAGGAGAAUGACAAGUCAACUUUUUACUCUUGA